rnacentral:rRNA from 1 species
GAUUUCUGACGAACCGGAGUGGCCCGUUUCCUUUCUGGGAAUGAGUGCCGCUUUGAGUUUGUCAUCCUUCCAGAGAGCUGCGUCUACCGUUCAUUCGGCCGGACGUAUGCGAUCUGGAUCUAUUACUUUGAAAAAAUUAGAGUGUUUAAAGCAGGCUUAUGCUAUGAAUACAUUAGCAUGGAAUAAUAAUUUAGGACUUCGGUCCUAUUUUGUUGGUUUCUAGGACAGAAGUAAUGAUUGAUAGGGACAGUUGGGGGUGCUAGUAUUCCGCGGCCAGAGGUGAAAUUCUUGGAUUCGCGGAAGACUAACUACUGCGAAAGCAUU